CCCCAUAUUCUACGUGGUCGUCCGGCAGUCGUACAUGGCUGUCUGACUGUAUGUCCUUCCCGAUUGUGUCUUGAUUAUUGCCAUUUUUGCCAUUUCGGCCUCAGUUGGCCUGGUUUGUGCGCAUUCAUACUAUUUGUGACGGGGGUCUUAAGUGCAUUGGGGACAUGC